CCUGUUUUCACAACAUAAUAGACUUGAAUAUGUUUGACAGUGUCUAUAUUGUGACCAUGUGAUCGCUCUGUUGAGCAGCCCAGACAGUCUCCCCACACCGGGAGCAACGCCGAUCGCUGCCGAUCAGGUAAGUACAUUACACCGUUAGGACGUUUCAGGACCGUCAGCGGUCGGCAACGCUAAAAUGCCGAUGACUGUCCUGAACCAUCC